UAGGGGUAUAGUUCAAUGGUAGAGCAGCGGUCUCCAAAACCGUAAAUAGGGGUUCAAAUCCUCUUACCCCUGU
rnacentral:tRNA from 1 species